AAACACCAUAGAAUUUCAUUGGGUUCAUGUGGGUUAUUUAUGAGAGAAGAUUUGGUUCAUUGUCCUUGGAGGCAGAGGCAGUCCUGCUGAGCCCUUGAGGGGAGCUGCAUUGUAGAUCCAAAAAUAUGAUGUGUUUAAUACAAAGAGGAACGAACUGUAGCUAUAUGAAUUGCCAAAAAAAGGUUCCUGUGGAGGAGUACAACAGCCCAAAGAGAUGAACAUGUGAGUGCUUAGAAGGAAGGACUCCUGGAGACAUGUAGUUGUUGAAGUUCACCUCUGAUGUCAUCUUAGGGCAGCACACUGAAACAACCCACAGUCUCACACGUGCUGUUCCAGAUCACGUUUAUAGCCAGCAGAACCUCGGACUGAAGGAAAUAAACCAUCAGUUUGCACCCGUUGCCCGUGUGCUUUUGUCAAGCUCACGGUAACUAUGCUGUUUUCACACCAGCCAUACUGGAAAGGGGUUGAGCACCAACCAGACAAAGACACACUCACAAGAGCGGCUAUGGGACACCUGAAAACAAAGGAACGCUGAGAACUGAGCAGGGUCCAGCGCAGUCUGCAGGGCACAUUUGUGUCCAGAAGAGGCACCACAGCCACGACCAAUGUUGAAGUCUCUUGAAUUUUCACCAUCCAUGAAUUCUUCCUGCUUACAUGGUCUAUGCUAAAGGUGAACUGUGAGAACAGACCUGUGACCUCUACUCAUUGGUCUGGUGCAGAAUGUUUUACCUAGGAAAUGAAGAAGUCAAAAACUGAACCGUGACUUCUCUGACUGCAGUUUUGCAGAAUGACUAACAUGAACCUAGUGGCAUCUGGCAUAGUUCUACCAAAUAUAGCCUACUGAUGGGAUGGGAGAAAGAGAUGCAGCAUGUUACUGUAUGUCAGACUUUCUUGAGACAGUUUCAGGUUUAUUUAGCCCUUCAACGUAAACAGCAAGAAGAACGACAGGACAUGGAAAGCAUUUUGCUUCAGCAAGGUAUAUACGAAGAUUGGAAGCUGUGAGAUUACCUUUCUGCAGGACCCUGUUUGGUCUAAAGCUGUGUAAAGCCAAAAAGCUUGAGCAAUUUGACUCUUGUCCUUGGAUAUCUCAAAGUUUCUGCUUACCAAGAGUUUCAGUUCCCCCUCAAAGAAAGACACUAAAUUUCUUGGGUGAAAACAGCAAUAAUUAUAUCAUCAUUGUGGUCCCAUGGGGAUGCAUCUAGGAUCCGCAAAGCCAAGGAAUCAAGAACUUUGACUGAGAAUGAAAGUGAUGACUCACAACAGAUUCUGCCCUGUUGUCUACGUUACCUUGUUUAUAAAACAUUUUUCAAAAUUUGCUAAGAAAGGACACUAAAUAAUGUUUUAGUGGUGCUCAUACUGUGAAAACCCAGGAGCCAAAUUACCUUCCAUCUUCAGAAGAGAAAACAAAAUAAAGAUACAAAGAAGAAGGUCUAAGGGUUCCAAUAUUCAAGCCUUCCUUUUUCUUCUUUCCCAUUUCUUCAGUGAUUCUUCCAGUUCCCACUGUCUAGUACUAGGUAAUCAGUGCUUUGCAGAACUGCUAGCACUUAGAGCAGGGGUCCUCAAACUUUUUAACCAGGGGGCCGGCGCGUGGAUGAAGUGGCAGGCAGUCAUCUGCGGCUGCUUGGUUUCCCCCCCCCAACCCCUGGCGGUGUGUGUGUGUGUGUGGGUGUGUUGUGUUCUGUAAAUUCCGGGUGCUGGACUGAGGACCCUGGGGGGGCGUAGUUUGAGGACCCCUGACUUAGAGGCUGAUUUCCAGAGAAAAGGAUGAUAUUCAUUUCAGCUGAGGAAGAAGGCAAUAACAGCUAGAAACCAAAAAAUCUCAUCUGGUUCAUUAAUAACAUUGUGACGCUGACAUGAGCCACUAGUUAUAUGGAAGACUCACAACAAAGAAUAAAGAGGUGGUAGACAAGGAGGAUGGGCACAAGACCCAGAAGAGAGUUACUAUGCGUGUAGUUACUAUCAAGCUAAAGCCAACUAGGCCUUAACAUAUGCCCAACUGCAUUAAAAAAUCGUGUUUUCUGAAUGGCAAAAUUCUGCUACAGACACAAAGCAAGAAAAACAGAGCUUCUUACUAGGUUAAGAUGUCUCCAGAUUUCUAACCUCUUCAGGAGAAAUGGUAUGGCAGGUUUAGAAGUGAAAGUUGAAUACACAGUCACAGAAAAACAGUCACAGAACAUUGUUUUAAAAAAAUCGCUGAAGCACAGGACAGGAAUAUGUGACCACAUCACUUUUUUUCAGACUGUGUUUAAGUGAACACUGAAUCUUGGAACAAACCCAGUCAACUGAGGGCAAAGGGUUUCACAGCACUAUUCUCACCACCAAUCUGUUUCAUCUUCUUUUUUUCUUUUUUUUUUCUUUUUUCUUUUUUAUUUUCUUUUUUUUUUUUAUGACUGGGACAUUUCUGUCUGCAAGCUGACCCAUUCCUUAAGCAUAUGUACAUGUCACUUAAGGAUUUAACAGUCAGAGACACUGAGACACUGUCCAGAUCCCUCUUUGACAUUUCAAGAGACAACUCCAAGAGGCUGAAAUACUACUGGGAUUUGAAAUAACAUGUGCAAAGAGCCUCCAUUUCUUCAGCUAGUUAAAGUGGUUUGUUUCUAUAAUUUCCUAUGCAUUAAAAAUAAAUGUAUAACAAGUAAUAUUUUAAAGUAACUUUCUGUUAUACUGCUGGCAUCAUCUCCAAAACAGUCGUAUGUCUUAAUGACAUUCCAUUUAUUUAACUGCUUUUCUCAUUAAAAACACUGCCUGAUGGUACUGAUUGCUCAACAUUUGACUCUCUAGAUUAUACAGAUCUGCCUGUUCUGAAGAGACAAAAAACCCAGGCAGAGCAGCAACCCCAGAGAAGGGAAGUUCCCUGCUAAGAGUUUAUCAGGUUGAGGAACAAUGUGCGUUGCCCGAUGUGCUUAUUAUCCAGGAAGUUACUCAUCAUUGUUAGUUAUUCUUACUGAAAAUACUAAAAUAAUUUCCAGUACUUCAUCCAAGAAACUAUGUCCUUCACCUAACAGUAGGUCCAGCUUUACUAAAAUGGCCAUGCAUGAUUCUGCACAUAGAGGAUUUUUUUUUUUUAAAUUAGAAUAAGCUCAAAAGCUGAAGAAGUACUUUUUACUUAAUUUUAUUUUAUUUAGCUGGAAAGCAAAUUUUAGCAGUGCCCUGAAUGGGUUUGUUGCAACACAAUUUAAAACUAUGCACCCUGAGAACCCUUGGUUUUUUUCUCUCUUCAUAAAGCUGGUGUAACCAAGGCUUUGUACUCUAAGGGCAGGCCUCCGAGCUAGAAAAGAGCAGGAAAAAAUGUUAUAGAGCUUUCUUAUACUCCCAGUAUGAGAACGCUGUUUGCAUUUUAGCUCUCCCCUAGCUAAAAUUUCGGUUGUGCCUUUGCAAUGAAGAUCUUAGGCACCAACAAAAGUUAGUACCCUGGAUUGUGAAAAGACUGUCGGGGUACCCUUCCCCACAUGUGCCAAAGGAUGGUGAGGAUGUGAAGGCCCUGUGGUGGUCAGGAACCCUCUGAAAGCCUGCAGUGAUGGCGCUGAUGAAGAGCUCCCAGCUGCACCACUCUCAGGAGGGCCCUCAGGGGUAGUUUAGAAGCACAAUAUAGACCCAGUCAUAAUGCUCCAAAGAUGGCUGCCAGGUGGAAAUGCCCCUCCAGGACAUGCAUUCAAGGUUUUAUUUGUGAAAGGUCCCAUGUGCUAUUAAUUUCCAAGCAGUACAUGGUGGCCUGAGGCUCAGUGGGGAGAAGAGCUGCUGUCAGCCCCCAGAACACUCUGAGCAUGCCAAAAUGGCGCCCCAACUCUGGGGGUCUCUGCUGCAUUUUGCAGGAGACGCACCCUGAAAAACGCUCAGCAGAGUGUUUCUAUCCACAGAACACACACUGUGUGUCCUGUUUCUUGCGUUCAUCUUUCAAGGGGCUCUGCCGUGUUGCACAUGACGCAUCAUGACUUCACAUGCUCUCUUGUGAAAUCGCCUGAUGCUGAUACAAGGAAAUUCAAGGAGCUGAUCAAGAAAUGGAGACUACAGGUUAUUGCCUCAUUUUCUGACUUUGUUCUGUUCAUGGACCACUCUGUGUGCAAAGAUCAGGGUUAAAAUACGGUUCAACAGGUUGCCAUUCGGUCUCAGUGAUCUGCAGACCAGGCAGACAUGAGUAACACCCUGAGACUGGAGCAGUACAAUAAUACAAACACUCCAGUGAUGUACCAGGUGUUGCCUGAAGGCCCCAGCUUUCAGAUGAGACCUUCAGCUCUUUAUCUGAGCUCUAGUGUUUUGCAGAUAAAUGAUCAUGCUGCACUUUUGAAAAGAGCACAGGGACAACCAUAGAUUUCUAACAUUCACUUUCUUAACACAUAAUAUAACAUGCAGGGCUGUUACUGACUGAAGCUUGGCUGUUAAUGUUUGCCUACAUAGUCACUGUACUUACCAGCACCUAAUUCAUCUGAAAGCUGUCUUUAGGAUUUUGAGAGAGGUUAAAUAAAACUAAAUUACAUUUUUCCAUUCUCUCUCACAUAUAAAUCUCUAUAAGAAUAAACCAAUCUGGUGCGUGCAGUUUGAAUGCAAGCUUUCCUCCUGAGUGAUUUUAAAUGAGAAUUUUUCACACCCUUAUUUAGAUGCAAUAUCAUUUCUGCCUUCAAUGUUAAUAACAUAGUCAAAGGGACUGGAAGUUUUGCAAAAAUCAGAGAUCUGAAUAAGGAAUUCAGCUUGUGUACUUCUCUUGCAGCACUUUCCUGAAUGUGUGCAUCUGUGUGUAAAGCAAAGGCUGUGCUGGCAGCAGAGCUUUCCAUGCUAACAUUUCUAUCCCCGUUUGUUAUCAUCAGACCCAAAUGUUACUUCUGCAAGUGGCAGUUAACAAGCAGUGGUUUAAUUCCUCUGGAGCCUGUAGGCUGUUCCCUGCAGAAUGCAAUCUCACGUUAGGACUUACUUAUUUUAAGAGUUUGGAGAACAGAAAGAUCUUGACAGCAAGAUAAGCAUGACCUCAGGGAACUGGGGGUCCCAGUCCAAGUCACUUUCCUCUGCUGAUUAUGGAUUUGGUGAAAACCAGAUUUAAUUUCUAUGUAUUAUCUUUGUAAUAUCUGACAGAGUGCUUGAAUGCAAAGGCAAAUAAAGAGGUUCAUGUGCUGAGUUUGUAGUUUGCUGGGAAAAUAAUAAGGCCACCAAACUGCAGUAAUGUACAGAAAGGAAUAAGAGAUGGUGUUUUGAGAAGAUGUGUUUUCCAAUUACCCAACCAUUUAUCACAGGGAUUAUUUCAUUUUAGUAUGUUGUCUUACCUGACCAGACCUUUCAUUCUCCUGAAUGAAAAUCUAAGUCACGUAAAUCACACAUAUAUGCAUAAUGUACAGAAUGGUCAUUAACUGCAAAUCUCACUUGUGCGAAAUUUUGUGUAUCGGUCGAUUUUAACAUUUUUUUUGAUGUUUCAUACAUUUUUUGCCUAAUAAUAAUAAUAAUAAUAAUAAUAAUAAUAAUAAUAAAUAAAAAAACCAACAAGCCCAACAACUUAAUGAAGACAAACAUUCAGUAUUGAUAUAGAGUAUCAGAGAAGCUUGGAGUUUUCAAUGUGUGAAUAUAUUGGCCUGGGAGUAUCACUACUCAAUUAUUAUUUGUUUCCAAAAACUGCAAGCAAUAGAGCUGGGCAGAAAAUAAUGUUGAAUGCAUCUGCAGUCUGUCUCAAAUUAUUUUUGGUAAUCGUAUCACAUCAAAUUUUGGAAUUAAAAAAAACCAAAACAAACAACAACCAACAAGAGGAACAUAGUACACAGUGAUUUUCCCAGAAAACAGGAUUUAUGUGUAGAUUAUAAACUGAAAAUAAUAAAUAACAAUAUGUUAUUUGAUAUAAUAUAUUAUUUCAGUGUACAAGUAGGUAAAAAUACCUAAGAAACUACUUAUAAAUGUUGCAAACUUUUCAGCAUGAUGAAAUGCUAUGUGAGAAAUGUUCAAAGUAACAAAAUUCUUAAAGAGAUCAAAAAAGAACAAAGAGAUUCUGUAGAAACAAUGGACCAAAUAUAUCCAAGGAUAACCCCACUGAGAUCAGUGGAAUUGCACUAGGGAUAUACUUGGCCCAGUGACUCCAGAAAUGAUGUUAAUGAGGAACCUUAACACUACUGCUAGAAAAAUCUCUAUUUAAACCAUGCUGUGGCAGUUCAUGUGAAAAAGUAAAUGGGACCUUCACAUGAACUGCACAGCAUGUGAGUGUGAAUCAACAGGCUAUAAUAAAUUGGUUUGGUUUCCUUCUCCCAGACUUAAGCAAAUGUAUUAUAUUGUAGCAUUUGAGAUGUUAUAAUGAAGGUUAUGUCAUUAUUCCAUUAUAUUCAAAAAAGCCUGAUUGUCUUCAAAAAAGGCCUGGUUUAGAAAAAUAUUUCUUAAUUCUUAUAAUAAAGAAUCUGUAGAUCAAAUAUAAUGAGUGAUAAAUCCCUAUUAAAAAUCCCUCGUUUCUCUAAAACUUGAUCUCAUGGAUGUCAAUAAGCUCUGGAUAAGGAAAUGUUUUGUAAAAUAAAGGCCCCAUUUUUUUUUCAAUGGAAAGCAAACCUGAAUAGGUUUCUAACAAAAUUUUACUUUC